rnacentral:rRNA from 1 species
ACUUAAAUUGAAGAGUUUGAUCAUGGCUCAGAUUGAACGCUGGCGGCAGGCCUAACACAUGCAAGUCGAGCGGUAGCACAGAGAGCUUGCUCUCGGGUGACGAGCGGCGGACGGGUGAGUAAUGUCUGGGAAACUGCCUGAUGGAGGGGGAUAACUACUGGAAACGGUAGCUAAUACCGCAUAACGUCGCAAGACCAAAGUGGGGGACCUUCGGGCCUCAUGCCAUCAGAUGUGCCCAGAUGGGAUUAGCUAGUAGGUGGGGUAACGGCUCACCUAGGCGACGAUCCCUAGCUGGUCUGAGAGGAUGACCAGCCACACUGGAACUGAGACACGGUCCAGACUCCUACGGGAGGCAGCAGUGGGGAAUAUUGCACAAUGGGCGCAAGCCUGAUGCAGCCAUGCCGCGUGUGUGAAGAAAGCCUUCGGGUUGUAAAGCACUUUCAGCGGGGAGGAAGGCG